GCGGGUGUAGUUCAGCGGUAGAACACCAGCCUUCCAAGCUGGUUGUGUGGGUUCGACUCCCAUCACCCGCUCCA
rnacentral:tRNA from 1 species